rnacentral:rRNA from 1 species
AUACGGGGGGUGCAAGCGUUAUUCGGAUUUAUUGGGCGUAAAGAGCGCGUAGGCGGCUUGGUAAGUCAGAUGUGAAAGCCCGGGGCUCAACCCCGGAAGUGCAUUUGAAACUAUCAGGCUUGAGUAUGGGAGAGGGGAGUGGAAUUCCUGGUGUAGAGGUGAAAUUCGUAGAUAUCAGGAGGAACACCGGUGGCGAAGGCGACUUCCUGGACCAAUACUGACGCUGAGGCGCGAAGGCGUGGGGAGCAAACAGGAUUAGAAACCCUAGUAGUCC